GUUUGGAAAAUGAGACUGCAGUCAGUACCAACAGACUGAGGCUGGCAAAUACUUUCUCACAGAUGAAGCCUUCAGAAGCUCAUCAUAUGCAAUUGAGAUGUAGGUCAAGGAACUGAACAAAUUGGAAAAGUCUGAAGUACCGCCAGUGACAGAAGAAAAUAUCUGCGUUUAUGUGAUGCAGAUGAGGAGGAGGCCUCAGCAGCCUGUUCUUGAUGUCACCACCACAGAUAUUUUGAAGACCUCCCUCACCACUCAGUCUUCCCCCGUUGGGCCUCGAUGCUAUCGUUGCUGCUGAUGCUACCACCUACUGGAUCUCCACCUGCUUCCGGAGCAUGCCUGGGCAGGGCCCACUCAUACGUCGAGCCAAGUCACCGCCACGAGCUGUCGAGAUACCAGGCCAAGAAUCUCGCUGAAGCACUGAGAGACCGGGCUGUCACACAGCCACGAAUCACUGAGAGACCGGGCUGUCAUACCGUCAAAAACUGCCAAGAGACUGGGCUGUCAUACAACCAUGAACCGCCGAGAAACCGGGUUGUCUACCACCAUGAGCUGCCGAGAGACUGAGCUGUCAUACAGCCAUGAACUGCCGAGAGACCACAUGUAUACUCACACAGCAGACAUGAGAAAUAGAAAUCUAAUCAUUUUUGCAUGCUACUUCCUAUCCAGACUUAGUAACAUGAGACCUUUAUGUGGAUAUAGUCUUCUGUGAUCAAAAUGUGUUUUAAUCUGACCACACACCAUAGCUACCAGGCGAUUUCUUCCUCAAAUCCGAGCGUGGAAGCUGAACAGAGAUCAGGUGAAAUCCAAGCCCUACCAACUUUAAUAAAAGCCUAAUUAAUGUCAUGCAUUGACCAGUUUGCUGUGAUCAUAUUCUCCCAUGGGUUUACAAUUCUGGCCUUUCUGACCUUAGCAAAUUAGAUAGGUGAGUUAAUAGUCAAUUUUGCUAUGGUCUAGGGGAAAGAAAAUGUUAAAUCGACAGCAUGCCUCCACUUCCCACGCAGGAUUAUCUUUCAACUUGACCAAUCCACCCACAAUGUAGUGGUCAGAAAGGCAGCUCCAGUCAUCCUAUGCACCAUAAUUAAUAUUAGAAUGCUAUUUACACACUGAACAAAGUACAAAUGCAAUUGUACACUAUGCUUUAAAACAAAGGUUGAAAGAAAGGGCAUAGCAAGCAUUUGUAAAUUGAUAAAUUAUCACCAUUUGUAAUCUCUAUUCUAUGUUGGAAGAGUUAUCCUUUGGCUUAUUAAUCAUGAGAAAACUGAAUUCCCCUUGCAGCUUUCAAAACAUUAAUUUAUCAUACACCACUGUGUUUACAAGAUGCAAGUCAGGUUUCUGUUUCUGGGGAGGAACAAAUUCAAUAACUGCACAUAUAAUAAAGAAAUAUCUGGGCCAUUCUGGAUUUAAAAUUCUUUUGUGUAGCUGUGUGAUUCUAUGAAAGCUUAGCACUCAUUUUGUGCAACUUAUAAUGGCAUCAGCCACUUCUUGCACAUUCUAGGCAGUGCUCACUGAGGAGAGGAAAAGACAGUUUGAAUCAAUGCUAUCUUGAUGCCAUAUAGGGCACCUGACUGUUGUGUUGCCAGGAUCCCUAAUUUGGGAAAAAAUAGUCCCAGCAAUUAACUUGAUGAUCACAUUGCAAACAGCAAACAUUCUUGUAGCAUGUUAGGCCCAGCCAGAGCACCAUUUAAAGGUCCACUUACUCAAAUUCUACCAAUGGUGAUUUUUAAGAGUUUAGGUGAUAUCUGGGUGUCUGGAGGUAAUUUCAGCAUGUCUGCAGGUCCUGAGAUGAGUCCCGGUUUUGUCAGAGUGUUGCUUCACCCUCUUAAAAUGAGGGCUGAUGUAAUUUGUCUAUAAUAUGUUUUUUAUUUUACUAGAUGUGACAUUGGUGAUAAUGUUUAUGGUAUCUCUUGCAAUACAAGAAACUGGGUGUACAUAUCAUUGUAUUAAACAAUCCAUUAGACAUUGAUACAUCGAACUAUUUUAUGCAAAAGAA